CCAGCCUUUGAAGCUGCCAGAGUCUCGAUAGCUCUUUCUCGAUUCUGUGGGUGGCGGUGCAUGGCCGUUCUUAGUUGGUGGAGCGAUUUGUCUGGUUAAUUCCGAUAACAAACGAGACUCUGGCAUGCUAACUAGUUAUGCGACCCCCGAGCGUGUGUGUAUCAUUUCUUGGCAUUGCAAUUCAAACAAAGAAUUCCUUUGAACGUGUACCAUUUCUUGGCAUUGCAAAUCAAACGAAGAAUUCCUUUGAACAUAAAAACUCCAGGAACAAUAUGGACUUGGUUGUCUCUUUAUG
rnacentral:ncRNA from 1 species